GGCGGACGGGUGAGUAACACGUGGGUAACCUGCCCGGAAGUGGGGAAUACCUCGGAGAAAUUCGAGCUAAUACCGCAUGACAUCUUCGGGACGAAAGUCCUGACGAUCAAAGCGGGGUCGCAAGAUCUCGCGCUACCGGAUGGGCCCGCGCCCGAUUAGCUAGUUGGUGAGGUAACGGCUCACCAAGGCUUCGAUCGGUAACCGGCCUGAGAGGGCGAUCGGUCACACCGGAACUGAGACACGGUCCGGACUCCUACGGGAGGCAGCAGUGGGGAAUCUUGCGCAAUGGGCGAAAGCCUGACGCAGCAACGCCGCGUGGAGGAUGAAGGCCCUUGGGUUGUAAACUCCUGUCGGCUGGGAAGAAAUCGUUCGUGGCUCAUACCCACGGACGUUGACUGUACCAGCAAAGGAAGCCCCGGCUAACUCUGUGCCAGCAGCCGCGGUAAUACAGAGGGGGCUAGCGUUAUUCGGAAUUAUUG
rnacentral:rRNA from 1 species